CCGAAUUUUUACAAUUAUGAAGUUUUGGUAGGAACUAGCUUAAAGGGAUGUUAAAGUAGUUCCGGCGAGGUUCGGAGGGUAUUUUAGUAAAAUCAAGUGUAAAUAAAAAUAGUGUGAAAUACUAUUUUUAUUGACUUAGAAAACUAAAAGAUAAUUUGGAGAUGAUUUGUGGUGAAAUUAGAAUGGAAACAAAAAAUUUAGAAUUUUCUAGACGGAUCGGGGCUAAUCUUUUAGCAGAAAAUUCAGUGUCAGAAAAUUAUGAAAAUUUGAGAAUACGUCGAAAUUAUUUUUCUGAGAUUAGAUUUAAAGUUUCAUGUCAUUCCGACACCCGAAAAGUGGAAAACAAAAUCUGACUACUAUCUGCUAACAAUUUUAGUCUGUAAAGCUUUCGGUGACAAAAUGGUCAAAACUGAAAAGUUAAGAUCACAUUCUUCUGAUUGAUUUUAACCGAGUCUGACUGUCAAAUUUGAUAGCAAACGGACCUUCAGACGGGCCCCGGCGAAAAGUAUCAGAUUCUGAACAUGACUAAAUUGUGAGUUGCAAUUGUUGGAACUGUCGAAUCUGUCGUUAUCGAUGAAAUGAAAUCGGAUUCGCGAAUAGAGUGUUCAUAUAGACUCGUCGCGUAAACGACGUGAUGUUGACCCCUGGUUGAUGAGAAUAAAGUGAUGUGCUCUUAUGAGACAUUGGGCUAGUGGAAGCCACGUGGGUUUGUGGACUUUGCUCUUGAGAGGACUGGAGCUUGAGGAUGUGCUGAAGUGUGCCAUCUCGCUGUAGAGCUGAUAGUUCAUAUAUGGUUGGAUCAUCCAUGAUUGAGUGAUGCACCAAUGAUAUUGCUUCUAAACAAUGCCGGUGAUCGAAUCAGGGUAAAUUCCACGGCGGAAUGGUAAGUGUAAAGAAGAGUCAUAUAUAGUGACGUAGACUCUUGAAUGGCCGAGGUAGUAAAGUGCCACUUAGUGGAUUCUUGUGUGAAUCGAGGGGGCCUACCCGUAUGCAAUACAUGGUGGCGGUGAAUUAUUCGACUAGUUGGUUUAUUCAGCCCGAUCCACACCACGGGGAUGAAAGGUAGUCUUGACCUCGGAGGAAACUUGUAUCCAGUAGCAUUUAUAAGGUAUGUCCUCUACUGAUGACGGUCAGCGACGACACGGGCCCGAUAAGCGAAGUAUGCGAGCAGUCGUCGGAUAUUUGGGAAGAGGCAGUGGAUGACUGUCAUUCCUGGGAAAUGACACCCGAAAGAAGGGUAAAGUGAAUUGGCAUACGAGGCAAGUUAAGUCCUUGUGUGCCGGAAUGUGAGAGGUGUUGCAGCGUGUAGAGUCGUUGAAUAUUGACUCGCGCUGCCACCGAGACUUGCGGGAGCCAUAAUGCACUUUCAGUGUUACGCUUUGCGAAUCUGUUUAUGUUUGGUCCCACAUCCUUCGUUGUGAACCGCUCGAGCGGUCCCGAUGAGCGUAAAGUUGCUAAGUGGGAAAGUGCAUUGAUACCCUUAAUUGCUCGAGGAGCUGAAUUGAGGUGUGGUUUGAAUUUCGCGGACGAAAUUCUUUUAAGGGGUGGAGAAUGUAACAUGCCGAACUUCUACAAUUAUGAAGUUUUGGUGGGAACUAGCUUAAAAGGAUGUUAAAGUAGUUCCGGCGAGGUUCGGAGGGUAUUUUAGUAAAAUCAAGUGUAAAUAAAAAUAGUAUGAAAUACUAUUUUUAUUGACUUAGAAAACUAAAAGAUAAUUUAGAGAUGAUGUGUGGUGAAAUUGGAAUGAAAACAGAAGAUUUAGAAUUUUCUGUAAAGAUCGGGGCUAAUCUUUUAACAGAAAAUAUACAGUGUCAGAAAAUUAUGAAAUGUGAGAAUAUGUCGGAAUUAUUUUUCUGAGGCUAGAUUUAAAGUUUCAUGUCAUUCCGACACCUGAAAAGUGAAAAACAAAAUCUUACUGCUAUCUACUAACGAUUUUAGUCGGUAGAGCUUUCGGCGACCAAAAAUAGUCCAAACUGAAAAGUUAAGAUCACUUCUUCUGAUUGAUUUUAACCGAGCCUGACUGUGAAAUUUGAUAGCAAACGGAUCUUUAGACCGGCCCCGGCGAAAAGUAUCAGAUUCUGAACAGGACUAAAUUGU
rnacentral:lncRNA from 1 species